AUACUCUAAUAGUUUANAAAAAACAUU
rnacentral:tRNA from 1 species